CAGCCGCCGCGGUAAUACGUAGGUGGCAAGCGUUGUCCGGAAUUAUUGGGCGUAAAGCGCGCGCAGGCGGUUUCUUAAGUCUGAUGUGAAAGCCCCCGGCUUAACCGGGGAGGGUCAUUGGAAACUGGGAGACUUGAGUGCAGGAGAGGGAAGCGGAAUUCCAUGUGUAGCGGUGAAAUGCGUAGAGAUAUGGAGGAACACCAGUGGCGAAGGCGGCUUCCUGGCCUGUAACUGACGCUGAGGCGCGAAAGCGUGGGGAGCAAACAGGAUUAGAUACCCUGGUAGUCCACGCCGUAAACGAUGAGUGCUAAGUGUUAGGGGGUUUCCACCCCUUAGUGCUGCAGCUAACGCAUUAAGCACUCCGCCUGGGGAGUACGGCCGCAAGGUUGAAACUUAAAGGAAUUGGCGGG
rnacentral:rRNA from 1 species